UCCACCCCGGCGCUGGGGGCGCCCGCCCCGCCUGCGCCUGCGGCUCCCCGGGGACCCGCCGAGCGCUCCGCCCUCCUGGAGCGCCACUCUGCGGGCGGGGGCUCGGAGAGACGUCUGGGCCAGCGCCCCGGGUCACAUGGAGGUGAGAAGGGCGUCACACACGCCCCUCUACUUCCAAACUGGGGACUGUUUGAUCCCCUGGGGAGACAGAAUAUUCCCGUCGACUUGACCUGGACUAGUACUGACCGCUCCAAGGAACCCUGUCAUGCCGACCUGGCCACGGAACCCGGAGCCCCCAUGGUCCUUCUAGAGAAGAAGGCCUCUAGCCCCAUGCCAGAGGAGCUUUGGUGGCUGCGGCUGGCGGUGACAGGCAGGAGCAGUGCUGUUCAGUGGUUAAGAUUGAAGGCUAGAACCAGCUUGCCUGAGUUCAAAGCCCUGCUCCACCACGGAUGAGUUACCCACCUUCUCUGGACUUAGCUUCUGUAUCACCAAAUGGAAGUAAUAAUUGUCCCUAUACCUUUAAUGCCUCAGGGUUGGAACUCUUGCUUAGGCUGAGAGGAAGGAAGAACUGGGCUCAGAAACGCCAUGCGGGAAUGGCUAGAGGAUGAGCUGGGCUAGGCAGGAGAAACAGGGAAAGAAGAUCUGAAGCCAAGUUGGGCCUAUGUUCUUACACCUGGCACUUGCAGGCCUUAGGUCUGGUCCCGCUGGGCUCGGGAAGGGGCCCAAGUCCAGCCCCCAGGCCUUGGUCCAGGUUGGCACACCACCAGGCUGCUGGCCAGGCCUGGAGCCUCAGCAUUCCCAGUGGGCUGGGCUGCCAUCUUGUGGCCACACCCGGAAACUAACCUAAGCAGGGCCCUGGCAGACCAGCCCCGGAGGGCAGCGGGGCUGUGACCCUAGGCAGUGGGGCUGGCAGGUGUCCCCCGCUUAGAUCAGACCUCCUCCCUCCGGUGGGCACGGGCGCUAACAUAGAGAU
rnacentral:lncRNA from 1 species